rnacentral:tRNA from 1 species
GCGCUGUUGGUCUAGCGGUAUGAUUCUCGCUUAGGGUUCACCCUACAGCAAUGUUUGCGAGAGGUCCCCGGUUCAAUCCCGGGAUAGCGCC